rnacentral:rRNA from 1 species
CACGUAGGGUGCAAGCGUUGUCCGGAAUCAUUGGGCGUAAAGAGCUCGUAGGCGGCUUAGUAAGUCGGGUGUGAAAACCCCAGGCUCAACCUGGGGACGCCACCCGAUACUGCUAUAGCUAGAGUCCAGUAGGGGAGUGUGGAAUUCCCAGUGUAGCGGUGAAAUGCGCAGAUAUUAGGAAGAACACCAGUGGCGAAGGCGGCUCACUGGUCCGGUACUGACGCUGAGGUGCGAAAGCGUGGGGAGCAAACAGG